CAACUUUUUAGAAUAAAAUGAACUCCAACAUAGUUUGUUCCAAAUCCACUAGAAUCCUUGUAGAAUAGUCGAGGACCCCAUUUCCAAGGGGUACCUGUUGAAAAUAAUUUCAACAAAUCCGUCCAAAACUUUUUAAGAAAAAUUAAAAAGUUUUGAACUCGAAAGUUUUUCCAAAAGAUGCCUGUUAAAAAUUGUUUCAAUCUCUCACCAAAACAAAUAAGAAG
rnacentral:lncRNA from 1 species